GAUGAAGAACGUAGCGAAAUGCGAUACGUAAUGUGAAUUGCAGAAUUCAGUGAAUCAUCGAAUCUUUGAACGCAUAUUGCGCUCUCUGGUAUUCCGGAGAGCAUGCUUGUUUGAGUAUCAGUAAACACCUCAACUUCCAUAUCUUUUUUGAAAUGGGAGUUGGACUUGAGUGAUCCCAACGCUUUUCCUCACCGAAAAGUGGCGGGUUACUUGAAAUGCAGGUGCAGCUGGACUUUUCUCUGAGCUAUAAGCAUAUCUAUUUAGUCUGCCUAAAAAACAGAUUAUUACCUUUGCUGAAGCUAACAUAAAGGAGAUUAGUUCUUGUGCUGACUGAUGCAGGAUUCACAAAGACGGCUUCGGCCGACUUUGUAAACUCGAUCUCAAAUCAAGUAAGACUACCCGCUGAACUUAAGCAUAUCAAUAAGCGGAGGA
rnacentral:misc_RNA from 1 species